rnacentral:lncRNA from 1 species
AUUUAUUAAGGGUAAACUUUAAAUAUCACCCCUAUGAUUUCGCACUUUUUUAGUUUAGUACCCUAUGGUUUAAAAUAUAUCAAUAUAGUAUUAUGUGGUUUAAAGUGUAUCAAUUUAGUACCCUAUGGUUUCGUCAGCCCCUCCGUUAACUUUUCGUUAAAUCAUAUAUAAAAAAUUUCAGAUACUCUACGUAUAGUUUAUCGAAUAUUCAUUUUAGUACCCUUUAGUUUUAACUUUGUCACUUAUUUAACGAAAAAAAUUAGUGAAAGGGGAUAACAAAAAGAGAAAAAUAAAAUCACAGGAUAUGAAAGUGAUACAUUUUAAACCACAAAGUAUUAAAGUAAGAAAAUACGAAACCACGGGGGUGG